AAAAUUCAAGCAGUUUAUUAAAAUCAAAGUAAGUUGUUUUUUUUUCCACAGCAGUAUAUUAAAUAUGUAAAAUUAGUGUUAUAUCAGUAGAUAUCUAUUGAUAUUUAUUUUUUCAUUAUCAGCUUUUUUCAUUAGCACUGCUAAUAUAGAAUUUCUUUCUUUU